GCCGCAUUCGUCUAGAGGCCUAGGACACUUCCCUCUCAAGGAAGAGAUCGGGGGUUCGAAUCCCCCAUGCGGUA
rnacentral:tRNA from 1 species